AGUUCCGGAUAGCCUAUACUUGUCUUAUAUUAAGCGGUGCUUGUCUGUUUAUGGCAGCUAUGAACCAUACUUCUGCUUCUAUGGAGAUAUUAGUUCGAGGGCUCGAAGGAUUCAGUGUGUGGAAUGGACCUCCAAUUGACAAUGCUGAACCUUGUGUGUGGAGGAAGUAAGUAACGGGGGCGGCAAAUGGACUGGGAUCGAAGGGUUCCUUAAAAAUGGCGUCAGAGAUGAACUCAGGACAAAAUUUGCAGUAAUUAAAAACGUUGAGGGAUGAAAAGGUAAGAAAGAAAAUUUGAGGGACUAAAUGUCGGCAUGAAGAAGAAGAAAAGAGGAAUCGGGAAGAGAGAGAGAGAGGGAGACCGGAGGAAGGAGAAGCUGGGGUGCUGCGUGAUCGGUGGCCAACCAAGUGGGAG